GGCGAACGGGUGAGUAACACGUGAGUAACCUGCCCUUCACUCUGGGAUAACUCCGGGAAACCGGUGCUAAUACUGGAUAUGACCUCAGCUCGCAUGGGCGUGGGGUGGAAAGAUUUAUCGGUGGUGGAUGGACUCGCGGCCUAUCAGCUUGUUGGUGGGGUAAUGGCCUACCAAGGCGACGACGGGUAGCCGGCCUGAGAGGGUGACCGGCCACACUGGGACUGAGACACGGCCCAG
rnacentral:rRNA from 1 species